rnacentral:rRNA from 1 species
AGAGUUUGAUCCUGGCUCAGGACGACGCUGGCGGCGUGCUUAACACAUGCAAGUCGAACGGGCGGAUUUGGUAGCUUGCUAUCAUUGAAGCUAGUGGCAAACGGGUGAGUAACGCGUAGGCAACCUGCCCCUUGGAUGGGGACAACAUUCCGAAAGGGAUGCUAAUACCGAAUGAUGUAUGAUUUCCGCAUGGGAGUCAUACCAAAGGCCGAGCAAUCGGUCACCAGGAGAUGGGCCUGCGUCUGAUUAGCUAGUUGGUGGGGUAACGGUCCACCAAGGCGACGAUCAGUAGCCGGUCUGAGAGGAUGAACGGCCACAUUGGGACUGAGACACGGCCCAGACUCCUACGGGAGGCAGCAGUGGGGAAUCUUCCGCAAUGGGCGAAAGCCUGACGGAGCAACGCCGCGUGAGUGAAGAAGGUCUUCGGAUCGUAAAGCUCUGUUGAGAGGGACGAGAGAUUACUUCAGGAAAUGGGAGUAAGAGGACGGUACCUUUCGAGGAAGCCACGGCUAACUACGUGCCAGCAGCCGCGGUAAUACGUAGGUGGCGAGCGUUGUCCGGAAUUAUUGGGCGUAAAGGGAGCGCAGGUGGGACUUCAAGUCAGUCUUAAAAGUGCGGGGCUCAACCCCGUGAUGGGAUUGAAACUGUAGUUCUUGAGUGCAGGAGAGGAAAGCGGAAUUCCUAGUGUAGCGGUGAAAUGCGUAGAUAUUAGGAGGAACACCAGUGGCGAAGGCGGCUUUCUGGACUGUAACUGACACUGAGGCUCGAAAGCGUGGGAGCGAACAGGAUUAGAUACCCUGGUAGUCC